rnacentral:sRNA from 2 species
GAUACUGGUGAUGAGCCGCGGAAGAAAAUCAAAUCACCAUUCACCUCGUCCUAGAAUUAACUCCAGCGAUACAAGAUGAAAAGCUCCCAAAAAUUAGUGUGCUGAUUGGACCAGAAAGCUGUCGCGAAAUAGUCACCAAAUACCCUCUGACGCGCCUCACGCGUCGCGCUUUGGAUGAGACCAACAACAACAAACAACAAAGAACACGAAAAUUUCACAACACUUGAUCGAACAAUCUUGUGGGAGAAUUCUGAUUGAUGACUGUAUUUUAUUAUCUACCAACCAUUUGAGCUCGUUUGUGAUUUUUCUUUUUCUUUUCUUUUUCUUUAAUUUGACCCAAGAAUAACAUAGCAAGUCGAGUGGGACUGGGUUGCAUGAGAUAUGGAAGCUGUGACGCGGGGAUUGGAGGAGAAAGCUCAAUAAACAUGUCAACAAGUAGGAAAUCGCUUGCGGGCAUACACAUAUAUUAAUCUAACAGAGCAAGGAACAUCCUUUUUGAGCGUAAGGAACAUGGAGAAAAAAAGAGAAAUAGGAAAGUUGGAUAAGGGCCCAUGAUACUAUCUCGUAAUCGUACAUAUCUUCUAGCGACCAAUAGGGAAAGAGGGAAAUGGGCACAGAAAAGCCGGAUUGGUUGUCGCUAUCCAUAAUUUGUUGGAAAGGGGAAGUUAUUAGAAGGAGGUCGAGGAAUGACAUAUGAGAGUAGAUGUGGGGUGUUGGUGUACAAACUAUCGGUGAGAAUAUGUGGGACGCAAUGUCAAAUGAGGGAACAUAACAUAGGAAAAAUGUAUUUCGUGUACACUCGAGAGACAAAAAAAAGGUAGAUUGGGAGAGAAAUUAUUUCAACUGAAGGGUCAUGACUGGUCUGGCGAUUGCUGUUAGGGAAUCGAUGGCCAACGAUGGUUAGAUGGAAGAGUAGAUCGAUGCGUCGUCGUAUCGUUGAACAUACGAAAGUUCAAUAUCCUUUCGCGGAAUC